AUCUAGUUAAUGAGUCCCAAAUAGGACGAAAUGCACGUCCUGGAU
rfam:Schistosoma mattheei strain Denwood, Zambia genome assembly, scaffold: SMTD_contig0001814